UACGAAGGGGGCUAGCGUUGCUCGGAAUCACUGGGCGUAAAGCGCACGUAGGCGGCUUCUUAAGUCAGGGGUGAAAUCCUGGAGCUCAACUCCAGAACUGCCUUUGAUACUGAGAAGCUUGAGUCCGGGAGAGGUGAGUGGAACUGCGAGUGUAGAGGUGAAAUUCGUAGAUAUUCGCAAGAACACCAGUGGCGAAGGCGGCUCACUGGCCCGGUACUGACGCUGAUGUGCGAAAGCGUGGGGAGCAAACAGG
rnacentral:rRNA from 1 species